GACGAACGCUGGCGGGGGGCAGAAGGAAGGGAAGUCGCAGGAGGCACCUUCGGGUGCGGAGGGGCGAACGGCUGAGGAACACGUGGGGACCUGGCCGGGAGUGGGGGACAACACCGCGAAAGCGGUGCGAAUCCCGCAUACGCUCUGAGGAGGAAAGCCGAAAGGCGCUCCCGGGUGGCCCUGCGGCCCAUCAGGUUGUUGGUGGGGGAACGGCCUACCAAGCCAAUGACGGGUCGCUGGUCUUUGAGGACGACCAGCCAGACUGGGACUGGGACACGGCCCAGACUCCUACGGGAGGCAGCAGCAAGGAAUUUUCGGCAAUGGGCGCAAGCCUGACCGAGCAACGCCGCGUGCCCUCCCCCCGCCUUCGGGUUGUAAACUGCUUUUGCUAGCGAUGAUAACAGACAGUCCCUGGCGACUCAGCCCCCCCUCCCUCUGUC
rnacentral:rRNA from 1 species